ACGGAGGGUGCGAGCGUUGUCCGGAAUCAUUGGGCGUAAAGGGCGCGUAGGUGGCCCGGUCAGUCAGUGGUGAAAGCGCGGGGCUCAACUCCGCGUCGGCCAUUGAUACUGCUGGGCUGGAGCACUGUAGAGGCAGGCGGAAUUCCGGGUGUAGCGGUGGAAUGCGUAGAGAUCCGGAAGAACACCGGUGGCGAAGGCGGCCUGCUGGGCAGUUGCUGACGCUGAGGCGCGACAGCGUGGGGAGCAAACAGGA
rnacentral:rRNA from 1 species